UUGAUCGCACGAACGUCUGCGAUUCACGGAGUGUUUUCUACUUGAAACUUAUGAAUUUUGGAUUGCGAAAGAAUGGAAAUAGAGCUUUGCUUCCGCCGAAGAACGGCGUUGAUGUGGGACUUGUGGGAGUUUCGGAGGGAGAUGAGAUUGUGCGCAUAGCUUUUGCCGACAACAUCAGUGCGGUAAACGAUAGAAAAUGCUGUCGAAAUUUCAUGUAUUUUAAUAGCCGCGAAUUAAAUGUGGAUCGACCUUUAUGCAUCGAGAUCGGAUGCGUGAGAAACAAAAGAAAAUUUUGACACGCGUCCGUACUCUCGGCAAAUUCCCUCUGGCGUUUUCACUUACAAACCCCGCCUCUCGCGUUUUUAAGCAUUAUGACAGUUUUUUCGAGCGAUAUGUAGAAUGAUACAUGUUUAUCGAACGUUCGGUUAUUGUGCGAAAGUCGAGGAUAAAGUCCGUCGGGGUAUCUGAAAUUUGUAUUACACAUCCGGCUAAAAUGUUGCUAUACGGUUUUUUUAAGAGUGCGAGAUUAUAUCAAAUAUUUAAGAAUUGUCGUGAUAAUUGAUAACAGCCGGACGCACAACUUAAUAAUAACAUAAUUUACGUAACAUUUCGUGUAAACAAGAUUGCAUCGCUUUACCUUAAACCAAACUGGAGGAGCUGACAACGCGGCGAGACGACGACGACGACUUCUCGUUGGUAACCGUAACGAGCGCUUCCCUUCAGGAGAGCACCUGCAGCACCUUCACCGGGUCCGUAUACACGAACUGGGAGGAAAAGUUCGCGUGUCGCGCGCUACAGGGUCGAGGCCGCGUCUUCAGCUAUCGAAAGAGGAGGACUCGCUUCGGCGAUGGGAUCUUCAGCGCGCCCGUUGGCGUCUGUCCACGUCACGUCACCUCGUCGGUCAUUCGCCGUAAUACAGGCGAUUCUCGUCUCGUGUUCGUCUGGCCGCAAAAAGCCAGCAGGAGUCGCCUCUCGAACGUUCUUGCACCCCUGUUGCGUGGCGUUCUAGUCGGACUGUUGUUCGUGGACUCUCUUCAUCUGUGGCCUGGUGAAUUCUUACCCACAUCUCUACCGCCGACUAUGCCAAUUUCUCUGCCGCCUGUGAAAUGCAAUAUCAUCGAGCCACGUUGGUACGAUAAUAAUUGAGUUACGGAUGAAUCGUUUAGUCACGUCCACACAGACAUCCGUUAUAAUGUAAUAAAAACACUGUACGUUCUUCAAUAAAGAUCAAAUUAUUUCAUUCGGAGACUCGUUUUAUCCUCUAAAUCGCGUUGAAUAUUUAUUUUUACUCACGAGAAGUGUGCGACUCACACUCGAGAGGAGAGUUUCUCACAACUUCAAAUUCAUUUGAGCUUUAAAAAAAUUUUAAUGUGCGCGAUUAAUCCUCACGGUCAACUUAUAUUAUCGAAGGUAAUAUUCCAACAAUGUACCCGACGUCACUCUAUGAAAUUACAAUUAUGAUUGAACGUGUGAAUAAUCAAUAAAAAAAUCAUCUCUUACUCCAAGAUACAAUUAUAAAUGAUGUUACGUGAUAAAAUUUUGUUCUUUCGAUAUAAUUAAUCAGAUAAAUUGUGAAAUUUCUUCAUAUCUGCUCUUCCAUAUUUCCUUGCCGAAACUAGACAUUUUGGCGCCCGGGGCAAAAGAAAAAAUACACCCCUCAGUAAUCAAAAAGUAUUUCUUCUACGACAUA